ensembl:lncRNA
AUGAGUACUACAUUCUUUGACAUUUAUAUGGCAGCUGAAGAAUUAGGGGCAUUGAGGAAUGCAGGAUACCUCCAAAUUUUUAUAUUAAUAGGUACUGUCAUUUUUGUACUCCUCAAUACUAUAUUUAGAGAUGCUAAAAUAAAAAAUAUUGAGGAUAAAAUAGAAAAAAUUGAGGAUAAAAUGCAAGCCCAAUUAGAAGAUCUAAAAUGUUUCUUACAGGAUCAAUGGGCAAACACCCACUCUACCAGAAACAGACCUGUUUCUGAACCUUUGAAUGAGGAAAUUUCCUCCCCUGAAAUAGAGAUGGAAAACACCUUCCCUAUAGCCCAGUUAACAGACUGCUUCUCUCGUGCAGUGCAAAUCUUGACUGAAUUUAAUCCCCAAAACCCUUCCCCUGCAAUCCUAGUUUCUCAUGUUCCCUCUCCUACAGAAAAUCAAAUUGCAACGCAAAGGAGAUCUUGUCCUCCUAGAGAAACCUGUCCUUGUCAAACUGACCCACAGGUACAAAAUUCAACUAGAGGCCUGUUUCCUCUAAGAGAAGUACCUGAAAUAGGAUGGAAUGGGGAUGUGGUGACUUUAAGACAUAGGAUACCGUUUACUCCCCAAGAAAUAAAUGAAUUUACACGAAAUAUCCCCACAUAUGAACAAGAUCCUUUUCUAGUAGCAAAAAAGAUGGGAGACAUAUUUUUUCAGUAUAAUCCGUCUUACAAGGACGUUGAGAACUUGCUACAGGCUUUUUUAACUGAACGUGAAAAAAAUAAAAUAAUUGCUCAUGUCAACAAAACCCGGGGGCGUAAUGCAGCACAUUGGCCAUCUCAGGAUCCCGAAUGGGACUAUAACAAUCCUGAGGAUUAUCUACAACUAUACCGUUGUAGAGAGGCCAUCCUCACGGCAAUGAAGGAAUGUGCAGACAGUACAGAUAAGUGGAUGGAACUGGAAAAAAUUAAGCAAAAGGAAAACGAAACACCCUCCAGAUUUAUGGACAGAAUUAUCGAGUUUGGAGACAGAUACUUAGAUUGGGACUUAAAUAAAGAGAAUAGUUUAAGACAAGUUAGAAGAAUCUUUGUAAAUAAUUCUUGCAAAGUAAUUAAAAAUUAUUUUAAAACACAAUGCCCAAGAUGGUCAGAUAUGGACCUUGAAGAAUUGCGAAAAACAGCUAUAUAUGUUUUUAAGGGAAACAAAGAAAAGGAGAAAGAGAAUAAUGAUGACAUGGAGGAAAUGAAGAAAAAAAUGAGAUGUGUAAUAGAUAGGAUAACUAAAUUAGAAAGUGGGCAUGAUAAUGAACCAACGACAAUUGCCCCUCUCCAGAAAUCCAAUUAUCAAUCCAUUACUUGCCACUUCUGUGAGAAGAAGGGCCACAAAAUGAUGGAAUGUAGAACCUUUCUUAAGAUGAUUGGAAGGAAUACACAGUUUAAUAAUAGCUUUAGAAAUAAUAACUAUAGAAAUGAUGAUAAUGGUUAUAGAAACCAGAAUUCUAGAAAUUAUAAUAAUGACUAUGGAAAUAACUAUAAUGAAUAUAGAAAUAAGAACUUUAGAAACCAGAAUUAUAGAAAUAGGAAUUGGGAAAAUAAUGACAAUGCUCUAAAUGAAGAAAAUUAUAAUGAUAAUGAACAACAACAAUAUAUGAGAAAUGGCGCUCGUCCAAAAAAUACUCGAGGUACUAAUGACCCUCAGAGAGGUGCCCUUCAGGGGGGUGCCCAAGGAAUAUCCCAAACACAAUGA